AAUAAUGCAAAUAAAAACACUUCAUUUUCCAAAUGCUGGUUUAUUAAUUCACUUCCUUAGGAUAAAAAUUCCAAGGCAUAACUGGCCAAUGGGAUUAUAUGGAGCACUCUGACUCAGAACACCCCGAUCAAACAAUAGCUGUGUCCGCACGUGCUUAUCUAUUAAUGUGAAAUGAGAUCGUAUCAUCACUAUUAAUACUUGCAUCUGUAAAUCAAAAGACAUUUUGUUCAGGAGAAGUAUCAAAUAAAGAGGGCAUGUGACAGACAUGCUGUAGGAUGAUCUCCAAUGAGCCACACCCUUGUAUAAACCCUUCCCCUCGAGCGCAGGCAGAACUGUGACUUGUUUCUAACCACUAGAAUACAGCAAAAGUGAUGCAAUAACUGUCCUAUAAUUACAAGAUAAAUAUAUGUAAAAGAUACACCCCCCCCCCAGGAUUGAUCGGGUGCUAGCACGCACUAGAGAGACAGCUCUUAAUUUCUGGCUUUCAGAAGUAAGCUGCCAUGUUUUGCAAGGGGAUAUGGACAAGGCCAUGUGGCAAGGAACUCCAGGUAGCCUCCAAGAGCUGAGAGAGGCUCCUGCUGACAACCAGAAGGAAAAAAAAAAAAUGUUACCAGAGUCCUAUAGACACAAGGAGAGUGGAAAUAGCUCUUUCACCAAUAGGACUUCAGAGAAGAUCGCAGCCACAGUUGACACCGAGAUGGCAGCCUGGUGAGACCCUGGACCAGAACAUCCAGUUGAACAGUGUCGCGUGGACUUCUGACAUCUAGAAACCGAGGACUCCUCUCCCCAAGAUUACUUGGAAGAUUCCCAUAUAUGUGUCAGCUUGAUCCUAAAGUUUAAUUUUCAUGCUGAUUUUUAACAUCUAUAAUUCAUUUUUCUUCAUGGUAUGAGCUUAAAAGCUUCAGUAAAGAAAUAGAGAAUUC